rnacentral:lncRNA from 1 species
AAACUGCAGGCUGCAGCCCAUUAAAGGUGCUCCGCCCUCACCGUGAAUUCAUCACAGUAGCAUGGCGACUUUUUCAGCCAGCGAAUCACUAAGUGUGCUACAGAGGAAGUGAUGAAGCAGAUGGUCUUAGUCUGUCGUCCAGACGUUUAGUCGACGUCCAGACAAGAUGAAGACCCCAUCUAUCUCUCCACUCCUCGGUGUGUGUGUGCUGCUGCUGUCUGCACCGACUGUUUCUGCAGGUGAGUUGAUGGAAGUGAAAACAAUCAGUGAGACUCCAACAAGAACACAAAUACAUUUACUGUGUGUGUGUGUGUGUGUGUGUGUGUGCUCCAGUGUCUCUGUCUGUCAGUCCAAACCUUCAGCAGUUCUUCAGUGGAUCUUCUUCAGUGUAUCUGAGUUGUGUUGAUGAUGGACAGACAGCUGAUGGAUGGACAGUGAAGAGGACCAGAGGAGGACUCACUGAGGACUGUGGAGCAGCUGCUUCAGAGUUUAGUAGGAUUAACAGUUCCUUCUGUGUUUUCGGUCUCUCCACUGGUGGAAAUUUCCUGUGUGUAAGCUCAUCUGGACAUCAGAGUGAUGAAGUCUCCAUCAGUGUCUCAGAUAAAGAUGUGAUCCUGGAGAUUCCUGCACUUCCUGUCAUGACAGGAAGUGAUGUCACUUUGUACUGUACACCCAAAGAGGGAGAAAGACGAAAAUCUUACUUCUUCAGAGAUGAUGUUAAACUUGGAUCUGGACCUGAAGGAAAGUGGAAUCUCUCUAAAGUCCAGCGGUCUGAUGAAGGUCUCUACUCGUGUCAUACUGAUAUUCAUCCACGUUCUCCUCAGAGCAGACUGAGGGUCAGAGAUCUCUCUCCUGUAGAUCCUCCUCCCACCACAACUUCUCCUCUUCUUCUCACUACUUUCCCUCCCUCCUCUUCCUCUCCACACUCUUCCUCCUCCCUUCCUCUUUAUCUCCUGUUCCUCCCUGCAGUCCUGGUCCUGGUCCUGGUUGGAGGUGUGGUUCUGUGGAGGAAACAGAGAGUAACCAAGACUUCACCUGCUCCUGAAGAAGUGACCUAUGCUGAUAUCAACAUCAGACAGAAGAAGAAGAGGCGAGAAAACCAUUCUCUUGAUCCAGAUACAGUCUACUCUGCUGUGAGGACACACACUGCAGGCCCUUCUGAGGUCACUUAUGGCCAAGUUCAAAUCAGAUCUCAGAGACCUGCGGGCAGAAAUACUGAGUACCCAGCUGAUCCAGAUGUUGUGUACUCAUCAGUGAGAGCAGGAAAAUGAAGAUAAACAGCUGGAGGAGCUUCACGUCUUUCCAACCUGAAUCUUUUAUUUUGAGUGUAACUCUAUUCUGCUAGAUAUGCUGUUUGCUCUGCUGUGUUUUACCACCUUGCUCGUCUCCUUUAUAGUGUAACUUCUUCCUUUCGGCACAAGUUUAGAUCUAUGAGUACUUGAACAGUGAGCCACAGAGCAUUUUAAAGAGUGCAUAUCUUGAGAAUCCACUUCUAAUUUGUUAUGAGAGUUUUAUCAACUCUGAGGUGUAAAAUUUUAAAAUCUGAAGCUCCUCUGGCAACUGGACCGUCUCCAGGUUUUAAACCACUGAGAGCAUCCUGGCUUUAAGAAAACAGAUGACCAAUAGGACUUGAGCUAAAUAUUCAAGUCACAACCCCUUGCUGAUCAUCUCUUUGUCUGUCAGCGCUAAGCAGAACAUCACAGCGUAGUGUACAGCAGUAUUCAAAAUGUUUUCUCUCAGUUUAACUGCAGGGCUGUGAGCUGCUGUUAUACAUCUGUCUGUAAAGAGGAAUGGAUGCAGCUGUCUUAGUCAUAGCCAUCAAACAGACAACCUGCUGCUACCUCAAUUAACUAAUUAAUUCAGUAUCAGAGUGAUGUGUUGAGCAGGUUUUAUAUGUUCCACAUCCAUGUUUCUUCUUCUCUGUGAUGUAAAUCUAAUCCUUGUAAAGUCAUCUGCAUACCUGUGUGUUUUCUGUGCUUGUUCACAGUCAUGCUUAGAGAAUUUAGAUUGCAAUGCAUCAACAACACCUGCAGUGUUGUUAAUAUGAUGAUUUAGUUAUCUCUUCCUUUGGCAGAAUACAUAAACUAUAAAAUACUUACUUUUUUGUCUAUGUUGUUAUUGAACAAUAGAGAUAAAACAAGAAAGUCGGGAAAAAGAGCAAAGAAAGACCUACUGUAAAAAUGUGGCCUUCGCUACCCCUGAAUUUAGACACAUCCUAUAUAUACUCACACAGACGGGAGGGGAACACAGCUGUGACUAAUCAGACAUGACAACACAGGGAGGACAAAACAGAAAACGGUGGCUGUGUCCAAAUUCAGGGGAAGGACGCCUCAAAUGCUGUAUUUCGAGGCAAUGACGUCACAGCAAUGCGACUAAGGUUGUCCCAAAUCAAAGAGUCCACCAAAUGUGGCAACAAAUGCAUCUUUGUUUCCUCGAAUUUGAAGGAUGGGUUGGGUGUAUCCUUCUUGUCCUACCAUAUCCCAGGAUUCACUGCUGGCGGUAAAGGAGGUUUUUUUCAGACAACGAUGGCAGUUGAAGCAGGAGAGGAAAACACUUUCAAAUUUAACCAUAUGAAAUCUGUUGAUAGUGUGACGUAAAGCAGUUUCCCCCCGGUUCUUUUGUAUUCCUCAGGCCUCCAGAGACUACACCGUCAUUUCAGAAAACUUUUAUUCAUCUUCUGUUACGCAUGCACCUUCCAGAAGGGGAGAUGUACAAGGCCGGUGUCCCUCUGCAGAUCUCAACCUCUUUGUUGGUUACAACCAGUUUUAUAGAUGCAUCCCCAUCGUAAAACCCACUUGGUGUGUCAUAAACUCAAAACAGUGUGUUUGUGUCUGUAUGUUCUAGCAUGUGAGUGCCUGCGUGUGCACGUACUUUUAGACUUAGAGCUUUUUAUUGUCAUUGUGCAGUUUCUUGCACAGUGGAAUUGGGUAGCCGGACCACAAAGGUGCAAAAAUAAUAAUAAGAGAAGCCUAUAUACAACAGGGGGGUAAAUAAAUAGAUCAAUAAAAUAACAUAAAAAGCAAUGUACAUGUAUACAUAUAUGUGAGUGAAACUAUAUACAUGGUGUAUGUGUAGGAAACACUGAAAGAGAAACAUUGUGGGUCUGUAUACAAGGGCAGUGAUAAAAUAUAAUAAACUAUACUUGUAACUGUGUGUGUGCACGUGAGUGUGUGUGCACGUGAGUGUGUGUGCACGUGCCAGUCAUAAAGAGGGCCAUUUCCACUCACACAAGCAACACCAAAUUCUUCUCUUUCCUAUCUCUUCCACACAGUCCUAGCAUCCCCCAACUGUAGCUUCCUGUCUCCUUUUAUGACAGGCAGACCCAGUGUCAAUAAAUUCCUCUGCCUCUACACAAUAACACACACUCUCACACUCUACAGCUAAACCAAAUUAAAAGACACCGACAUUCACAAAUCCGUUCCUAUUUCUCUUAUCUUCAGCUAGACCCUCUCAUCUAAGCAAAUGUAAGCACAUUAUUUUCUAAUUGUGUUUUCUUUUACUCACAGUACAAAGUUAAAUAUUUAUAUUGGUCGUAUUGUUAAAUGGCCUGUAAUUGUAUUAGACUUGUAGUCAAGAUCGCCUAAACUGAGAUCAAGACAAGACCAAGACCAGAGGGUAUCGAGACCAAGACAAAAAAGUCUUUAAACUGCAGCCAGAUGCUGCUUCGUUUAUGGGUGUCAGGCAUAUAUGUGUUUUUGCUUUUGUACUGUUUUUCUCCAUCUCUGUUUUUUACAUAAUGAUAUUAUCCUAUAUCCUCGCAUGUGAUUGGCCACAAUAUGGAGGGAUUGGAGCAUAGCUGAGCCACUGUGUGCGAGCUGAGCAGUGAAAGGAAAUUAAGUGAGGGUAGAAAUGACUGAAAAAUUAAUAGGCUCUGUUUUGAGUUUUGUUUAAAAAAAAAAAGACUUCAUAUAGGAAAAAAAUAUCACAUAUGCAGGACACUGUUAACUAGUUUUUAAUUAAGCAGCAAGGCAGAACAAGGUCAGGGCUGUAUCAAGACACGGGG